rnacentral:lncRNA from 1 species
AAUCUCAACACAAAAGAAAGGAAGAAUGCAUCAACAUUAUCAUGUUAUCUUCUACCCAUCAUACACCAUAUUAUAUCCCAAGUUAAACCCCUUACCUCUAUUCAAGCUAGUCUCCAAGGUUCUUAGGUUUCUUUCCUUCUUUAGAUUCCAAGCCCUUCACCCUUCUAGGUUCCCUUCAAGUUUCGUCCAACUCCAAAGCUAGGUUGAGUAAUUUCUUUCUCUCACCAACUUGGUUGUUUCUCACGAGGAAAUGUGUCUCACCACUCAACUUACGACUUUCUCUCUUUCUUUUCCACUCUCUCACCAAGUUUUUAAUACCAUCUAACUAACUUAAAAUUACACACUUAAAUAAAAUCAAUCCUAAACCUUUCUAACCCUUAAUCCCCCUCUCAAGGUCACUACCAAGGACAUCCUUAGACCAUUUCAGAUUUUUCCCAUUCCUAACUCCACAUUAACACCCAUA